rnacentral:rRNA from 1 species
UAGGGUUUGAUCAUGGCUCAGAUUGAACGCUGGCGGCAGGCCUAAGACAUGCAAGUCGAGCGAGAAAGUACUUCGGUACGAGUACAGCGGCGGACGGGUGAGUAACGCGUAGGAAUCUACCUAGUAGUGGGGGGCAACUCGUGGAAACGCGAGCUAAUACCGCAUACGCCCUACGGGGGAAAGCGGGGGAUCUUCGGACCUCGUGCUAUUAGAUGAGCCUGCGUAAGAUUAGCUAGUUGGUGGGGUAAAGGCCUACCAAGGCGACGAUCUUUAGCUGGUCUGAGAGGAUGAUCAGCCACACCGGGACUGAGACACGGCCCGGACUCCUACGGGAGGCAGCAGUCGGGAAUAUUGCGCAAUGGGCGAAAGCCUGACGCAGCCAUGCCGCGUGUGUGAAGAAGGCCCUAGGGUUGUAAAGCACUUUCAAUUGGGAGGAAAAGCUAAUGGUUAAUAGCCAUUAGCCCUGACGUUACCUUUAGAAGAAGCACCGGCUAACUCCGUGCCAGCAGCCGCGGUAAUACGGAGGGUGCAAGCGUUAAUCGGAAUAACUGGGCGUAAAGCGCGCGUAGGCGGCUCUUUAAGUCGGAUGUGAAAGCCCCGGGCUCAACCUGGGAACUGCACCCGAUACUGGGGAGCUAGAGUGUAGGAGAGGGAGGUAGAAUUCCAUGUGUUGCAGUGAAAUGCGUAGAUAUGUGGAGGAAUACCAGUGGCGAAGGCGGCCUCCUGGCUUAACACUGACCCUGAGGUGCGAAAGCGUGGGGAGCUAACGGGAUUAGAUACCCCGGUAGUCCACGCCGUAANCGAUGUCUACUAGCUGUAGGGGUGCUUGAGACCUUUGUAGCGCA